rnacentral:misc_RNA from 1 species
UCUCCGUAGGUGAACCUGCGGAGGGAUCAUUAACGAAUGGUCUCGUACCUUCAAACCCUUCAAACCUGUGGACGUUUAAAACGUGCUUCGGCGCCUCUGGCGUCGCCUUUAUGCCGUAUCUGAGUCUUUUACGUCUGAACGACAUACAAGAAUCAAAACUUUCAACAAAGGAUCUCUUGGCUCUC